GAGUUUGAUCAUGGCUCAGAUUGAACGCUGGCGGCAUGCCUAACACAUGCAAGUCGAACGAGGGUAGCAAUACCUUAGUGGCGGACGGGUGGGGAAUACGUAGGAAUUUGCCCUUAAGUGGGGGAUAGCCCGGGGAAACCCGGAUUAAUACCGCAUGAUCUCGAAAGAGCAAAGUGGGGGAUCGCAAGACCUCACGCUUUUGGAGAAGCCUACGUCGGAUUAGCUAGUUGGUGAGGUAAUGGCUCACCAAGGCGACGAUCCGUAACUGGUCUGAGAGGAUGAUCAGUCACACCGGAACUGAGACACGGUCCGGACUCCUACGGGAGGCAGCAGUGGGGAAUAUUGGACAAUGGGCGAAAGCCUGAUCCAGCAAUGCCGCGUGUGUGAAGAAGGCCUUCGGGUUGUAAAGCACUUUAAGUUGGGAAGAAAAAACUCGCUCUAACACAGUGAGUCUUGACGGUACCGACAGAAUAAGCACCGGCUAACUCUGUGCCAGCAGCCGCGGUAAUACG
rnacentral:rRNA from 1 species